rnacentral:lncRNA from 1 species
AAAUAAAUAGUUAUAAGAACAUAAGUAAUAAGUUAAUUUUGGAGAAAAAAAGUUAUAUAUGCUUCAGAGGAACAGUAUGUAUUGCUACAGCAUAAAUUUCUCUCUAAGUGACAUACUCUUUAGUUUGCUGCUCUCAUAGGCAUAUAUUUUUAACAUGAUGCUUUAGUGAAGGAAAGCUUGGUAAGUUAAUGAUAAGAUAAACAGUUGCCAAGAUAUUUCUCUUGAAUUGUAGGUUGCAACUGCUCAAUGAAAUUGCCUAAUUGUGUAUCUAUCAGCAAGCAGGUCAAUAUGCAAAUAUUCUGGAUCAUGGCAUUUCUGAGGAGCAAUUUUUAAUUUAACAACAUGGAGAAUCUGGUGCAACAGAGACCUGACUUACUGAUCUGAGAUGCAGUUUUUCAUUGUUAUGGAAUUCUUAAAUUUCAGAGGCAGUGACUGCCCUAGCUCCAAACCGUCUACCUGAAAACAGUGGGAGCUGAAGCUUGCCUGGUUACCCUGAUGUCAAUCUUCCCUCUGGCCCUUCGUCCUCACUUAAUGCAUGUCUGUAUGGAAUUUCAGUCUCUGCAUUUUCUAAUAAACUUUGACUUGACUUGUCCCUUUAACUCUGAGAUUCACUCUGUUGUCUGCCCCUCUCCUAAUUGUGGGCCCUCUUAACUCAAUCCCUGAUUUAGAUGGCUUGGCUACCACUGGAGCCUGGAGCACUAAUACACUAAUAAGUAAAUUUUCUCUUUUUGACUUAAGAGUUUAAAAUGUAUUCUCUUAAUCUCUCUCCUCUCUCUCUCUCACACACGCACACACACACACACACACGCACAUCAAAAUUCUAAAUUGAAGGUCAGUAAGUAAAAGCAUUUAUCAACCACAUAUAUUUAUCUUAUGGGUGCUAUUAUUUGACUUCUUAAUUUGAUUGAAAUACUUCCAGAUUUAAAGAGGAAUCCAGAUGAGUUAAUGGCUGCAGCACACCAACAUGGCACAUGUAUACAUAUGUAAAAAACCUGCACAUUGUGCACAUGUACCCUAGAACUUAAAGUAUAAUAAUAAAAAAAAGAGAAAUCCUUCUACUCAGUG